UUGAUAAAUUGGUAAUUCAUUAAACCUAGAGCAGUUGAAAUCAAUAAUUUAUUCCUUCAAAUAAUGACUCAAAUGAUGGGAAAGAGAGAGAAAUGCAGGGCAAAAUGCAAAAGGUAAAUUUAAACAAUUAGUCUAUUGUGGGGGAUGCAUUUGAGCAACAGAUCUUGCAGGUAAAUAAAUUAUACUUUGGGAGUUAAAAAUAGAAAAUGUGAAUAUUUAUUUCCUUGCAUUAUUAUAUUAGAUAAAGAAGGCAGAGCUAAUUGACUGAAUAAUCAUUUUGUUUUGUUUACUUCAUUUUAUAUCAAUAGGGGACAGGGGUUAAGAAUUCUUUUCCAAAUACUUUGAAGAGUAGGGAAGGGAAAGACAGCCCAUAUAUAUAUAUAUACACACAUACAUACACACACACACACACAUCAUACAUAUAUAUAUCAUAUAUAUAAUAACAUGCAUACACAUAUAAAAAUUAAAAAAGAAUGCACACAUAGGCAUCGAUGUUGGAGGCAAGUAGAAAAAAAAAAUGAACAAAACUUAACAUUAUUAUUAUUAUUAUUUGUGGUUUUGUGCCUAUGUUAGAAAUAAUUAUCAUCAUCAUCAUCACCAGGCUAAUUCAAUAAACAGCUACUGGCUGUAGAAACCAGCUGAAAAAUAUAAAAAAAAAAAAGAGGGGAAGUAGAACUGUUCAGUGUGUGGAGGUGGGUGGCAUGUUUUUUUUUCACAGAUUA